CAUCCUCACACCGGUUGCCAUCUCAACCUCUCGUGCACUAUAGUUACCUACUAACAUUGGUGUAAAAUUCUCAAACAGAAGCCUAUUAAACUAAAAGGAGAGGGAAAAAAUAAAACAAAAAAGGUAUUCAUUUCAUGUGUUUAUUUUAUUUUCCUUCUAUCAAGAUAAAGACAAAUUAUUAACUAUUCUGUUUUGUCAUUAGUCAUUACACGCUGCCUCUGUUCUCUAAACAGUAUAAAACAUUUUGCUUUUGACAGAGCAGUAGAACAUCUUUUUAACAAAAAUAAAGAAACUGUGCGUACAAAAAAAAACAGUUUUCCUUACACAAUUACUUGUGAAUUUCUUAAUGUUAGUUAUCAAUUAGGUACUUAUUACAAAUUUUUUGCAAAAUGGCAGUUAGUAUCACUUUUAUAUUUGUUAAUAAUAAUAAGCAUGAUCAAAACAUUUAGUGGCCAAUGACUUUUCAUAGUAAAUUACAUUACUACCACGUUUCUAAGUCGCAUCGUUUGCACAGUAAAGCGCACAACCUAACGCCAACUAAAACCGAAUGUACACCAAUGAAAUACAGGUCAUUAUUGCUUGACACAAAAACAACAGACUCGUGCUAUCUCGCUCGUAAAUUGCGCGUACAAAACUGCGCGUACGCAACAACCAUGCGCGCUAUGAUUGGCCGAGAUAUUUUCGCGCCAUUUAAAAAUACGAUUUCUGCGCAGGUACAUCGACGUAACUUAUAAAAGUGGGUACUAUUCACUCAAUACGUUAAAAAAUACAUGAAAAUAAUCACAUAGGUACACCAUUACUGUUAAUCCAAUCUCGGCUUUAUUAGUCAUUCGUUUAUCAAUAAAAUGUACUAUCACAGAUGCUUAUUGCAUUAAAAAAAACCAAUUGCAUUAAAAAUGUGGUGUAUUUUUUUUAAUUGCACAUAAAAAAUGUGCAGAAAUAAUAAUCGUAAAAAGCUUUCAGCUUAGAAUAUAUUCGUAACUUAAAACUAAAUGUUUUAUGAUGUCCUUUCAUUUACUUCAUUGCAAACAUAAUGGAGGGAUGUAUUAAACUUAAACACUCCUUUAAGAAAUAAAUCGUAAGAUUACGAUAAUAGGGUUAGUACAGUAGGUACAAUAUUUUCUAUAACGUUAACACAUACCUAGUCUAGAUAAAAAUCUGCAAUUGUUAAUCUUUAUGACCAGUGAACUACCGUCAUUGUACUACCACCAAAAACUAGUUGGUGGCUUUCUAAACAUUUGCAUUGAUUUUAGGUUUCACGUUCAGAUUUUCUAGAGUAAAAAACAUGCUAACGAAAAGCAUCCAAAAACCACACUAUAAACCAUAAUACUAGUAUUACAUAAUAAUAUGUAAUAGGGUAUGUAUAAUUUGUAUAAAUAUCGAAUCUCGUUGCAAUUUG